AUUGAACGCUGGCGGAAUGCUUUACACAUGCAAGUCGAACGGCAGCACGGACUUCGGUCUGGUGGCGAGUGGCGAACGGGUGAGUAAUGUAUCGGAACGUGCCCAGUCGUGGGGGAUAACGUAGUGAAAAUUACGCUAAUACCGCAUACGAUCUAUGGAUGAAAGCGGGGGAUCGCAAGACCUCGCGCGAUUGGAGCGGCCGAUAUCAGAUGAGGUAGUUGGGGGGGUAAAGGCCCACCAAGCCAACGAUCUGUAGCUGGUCUGAGAGGACGACCAGCCACACUGGAACUGAGACAUGGUCCAGACUCCGACGGGAGGCAGCAGUGGGGAAUUUUGGACAAUGGGCGAAAGCCUGAUCCAGCCAUUCCGCGUGCAGGAUGAAGGCCCUCGGGUUGUAAACUGCUUUUGUACAGAACGAAAAGGUUUCUACUAAUACUAGGAGCUCAUGACGGUACUGUAAGAAUAAGCACCGGCUAACUACGUGCCAGCAGCCGCGGUAA
rnacentral:rRNA from 1 species